GACGAACCGUACGAACGUUAUUCGGAAUUACUGGGCUUAAAGGGUGCGUAGGCUGUGCGGUAAGUUGGGCGUGAAAUCCCUCAGCUUAACUGAGGAACUGCGUUCAAAACUACCGUGCUCGAGGGAGACAGAGGUAAGCGGAACUGAGGGUGGAGCGGUGAAAUGCGUUGAUAUCCUCAGGAACACCGGUGGCGAAAGCGGCUUACUGGGUCUCUUCUGACGCUGAUGCACGAAAGCUAGGGUAGCAAACGGG
rnacentral:rRNA from 1 species